rnacentral:lncRNA from 1 species
AGGUCACCGAGAAACCACCCAAAAUCAGCAGAAAAACUCUCAGAAUGUUCGGGUGAAGAGAAAAUACUCAAAUAUCAUGACGAAAAACUCGAAAAACAUUCGAUCUAGGUCAAAACCACCAUCGACCAUAAGGUCUCAGAAAAGCCCUAGAAAAUCUCUAAAAGAGUUCAACCAAGACAACGAGAUGUAGAGAAACAUAAUCGGAUCGUCGUCUAGGCUCUAAUACCAUGUAAACAUUGAUAUUAGACCGAGAAAUCAUAGAAACUGUAGAGAGAGAAAGUAGAG